CUCCAUUAUUCCCCUUCACCUCUCUUUUUUUAAUCUUAAAAAAUUAUUUCUAUUUAAUUCUUUUAUUUAAUAAAAUUAAUUACUUAAUUUUUCUUAUUUUUAAAAAUAUAUCAAUUAAUUUUUAUAUUUUUAUUUUAUAUACUUCUUCAUUUUUCCAUGAUUCCAUUCAGUUCAAAUAAAAUUUUUAUUAAUCAAUAUAUUAAAAAAAAGAAAUUAUAAUAUAGAACUUAUACAGGCUGCACAACUAGCUGAUGUAUAUUUCAAAAUAAGGAUUUACAUAAUUAAUUUUGUUAAAAUAUGAAGAUAAAAUACUUUUUUUUUUCGAUCAGAGAAUGUUCUUCAUGAGUUUGUGAUUUAUUCAUUAGAACUGUAUAGGAAAAAGAAGUUGACGGUUUUCGCUUUCUUGAUCUGAAAUUAACUAUUUCUUGUUUUUAAUUUUUUUUUUCAUCGGUGAUGCAAGGAAGGGUGUGGCUGGUGGUGAUAGUGAGCGACAUAUAACCGUAAUCCCAGGACGGCAGGCCAUAGAGUGAAGCAGCAGGAGCAUGUAUCUUGGUUGCAAAGGCUUUACUUCUGUUUCUCUUUGGCCUUUUCUUCACUUUACUUUUCUCUCCACCAAUAUAAAAAUUCUUUCAUUUCGUUUUUAUGGUUACUGUACCCCACUACUAUCUUUGGACGCCAAGUGAUUACAUUUUCCUGGGAAAACGAUGGCCCUUUCUUCAUCUGAUGAUAACUGAAGGGACCCAUCAAACCGUUCUGCUUCUUUUGCUUCCUCAGCUGGGGUAUUUAGUUAGUUCUAUUAGUGCUGAGAGGGGGUUGAAAUCUUAGUUUCUGGGAAAGAUGAGUGGAGCUGUGCUUGUGGCUGUUGCUGCUGCGGUUGGUAACUUAUUGCAAGGGUGGGAUAAUGCAACCAUCGCAGGGGCUGUUUUGUACAUAAAAAGGGAAUUUAAGUUGGAAAGUGAACCAACUAUAGAAGGGCUAAUUGUGGCUAUGUCACUUAUUGGAGCUACUUUGAUAACUACAUGUUCUGGAGCCAUAUCAGACUGCCUAGGGCGCCGUCCUAUGUUGAUAAUCUCUUCUGUACUUUACUUUGUGAGUGGUGUUGUGAUGUUUUGGUCUCCCAAUGUUUAUGUUCUACUCUUGGCAAGGCUUUUGGAUGGAUUUGGUAUUGGUUUGGCAGUAACUCUUGCUCCAGUUUACAUAUCUGAGACUGCACCGCCAGAAAUCAGGGGAUUAUUGAAUACUCUUCCUCAGUUCACUGGAUCUGGUGGCAUGUUUAUGUCAUAUUGUAUGGUGUUUGGGAUGUCCUUGAUGAAGGCACCGAGUUGGAGAUUGAUGCUUGGUGUUCUUUCUGUUCCCUCUCUCAUUUAUUUUGCUUUGACUGUAUUUUUCUUGCCCGAGUCUCCAAGGUGGCUUGUGAGUAAAGGACGGAUGCUUGAGGCCAGGACGGUUUUGCAGAGGCUUCGUGGCAGAGAAGAUGUAUCUGGUUAGCUCUUUUGUUUUUUUAUCUGUGAAGGUUAUGUGCUUCUUUUGUCUGUGAUGUAAAUUUUAGUCUACUUGGGCUUCAAUGUUUGAAAGUUAUUUGUGUGGUAUACCUAAUGAUAGUUAACACAACUUGUAAUUGCAUGAUAGGAAUUCAUUGUUGUCAAUACAUUUCUACAAAAUAGAAAACAGUAUUAAGAAAAUAGUUAUUCAUUUUGGUCCUGAAAAAUUUUAUUAUGAAAUAAAGAUAAAAAAUAGUAGAAUUUUUCUGUAGAGAAAGCCAUAUGCAUAGACUUGCUAUCAAUUAUAAUAUGUUGCUCAAAAGCUUAGUGUAGGGUAAUUUAGUUAUAAAAUUUAAAAGCUUCCCUUAUUUUAUAUUCUAUGCUACUUUGGUGGAUAACCAUCUCUGUGUUCAGUACCCAAGCUUUGGGGAGUCGAAUGCAUUUCUGUAUUUGGAUCAUUAUUAUUAUUUUCUUUUACUCAUUAAAUUUCAUUUUUGCUACUCUAGGUGAUAAUCAGUAGCUCUUAGAAUACUUAGUCGCAUCAUGAAUAUAUUUGUCUUGGUUUCCUUGAUGAUGGAUUAAUAAAAUUAUUGUGAAAUACAAAGCAUAUGUAAAUUGCAAUAGUACAGAAUGGAGAAAAUUUAUCCAUGUAUUUGAUCCAACUGAUUUGGAUGCAAGGCCUUAUUUUUGUAACAUAGUGUAAGCUUUAAGAAAAAAAAAGGGUAACCCAGUGGACGAAACAUUCCACUCUUAUGGGCUUUGGGAAGGGAUGAUGAACGCAGCUUUAUUUCUACUUUGCAAAGAGGCUAUUUCUGUUGGAUAUGCUUUAAGAAGCUCUUUAUAUUUUUUGUUUUUAUAUUUCAUUAGUAGAGAAUUAAUUCCAUGCCUUGAGGGGAACUUCAUGUACUUGGUAUUAUAGUUAGUCGAGAAAUGGAGUUCAUGUCACAUUUAACUCAUUUUCAGCGCAAUAUGGUCCAUAGUUUUCACUAGUGUUCAUGUUCAAAGUUAACAAUUGUUUUGGAUGGACUUCUAAUUGAGGAUAUAAUUGCAACACUAACUAAAAUUUGUAUAAAAGUUGAUAAAACUAUAAGAAUAAGAUAUAAUUGUAAAAUGCACCAAAGUCUAUUUAUUUAUUUUUUGUCAUUAAGCAAAAGAAAAUUAAAAAAUGCACUUGUUUCUUUUUCUUUAGGUAUAUAAAAGUAGAUUUUGAGUUAUCAUACCAUAGGAUUCCAAUACAAAAGUAAACUUAGUCAAAACAGUAUAGAAGUGGCCAUAAAGGGGAAUCUCAGGUACUAAAAUGAACAGGUGAGAUGAACAGGAUUACUGAUCUUGUUCAGAUGAACAGGUGAGAUGGCUUUAUUGGUUGAAGGACUUGGCAUUGGGGGUGAAACCUCAAUAGAGGAAUACAUAAUUGGCCCAGCCAAUGUUUUCACUGAUGACCAAGACAUAUCUGCAGACAAAGAUUAUAUCAAGUUAUACGGGCCUGAACAAGGUCUCAGCUGGGUUGCCAAACCUGUUACGGGUCAAAGCUCUAUUGGUAUUGUGUCUCGGCGUGGAAGCAUGACAAACCAGAGUGUGCCACUCAUGGAUCCUCUUGUCACCCUCUUUGGUAGUGUGCAUGAAAAGCUCCCUGAUACAGGAAGCAUGAGAAGUAUGCUUUUUCCACACUUUGGCAGCAUGUUCAGUGUCGGAGGGAAUCAAGCUAGAAAUGAAGAGUGGGAUGAGGAAAGCCAAACCAGAGAGGGUGAGGAUUAUCCAUCUGAUGUUGGUGGUGGUGAUUCUGAUGAUAAUUUGCAGAGUCCAUUAAUCUCACGUCAGACAACAAGCAUGGAUAAAGACUUGGUGGCACCUGCCCAUGGAAGCCGUUCAAGCAUGAGGCAUGACAGUUUGAUGCAAGGAAAUGCUGGAGAGCCAGUUGGUAGCACUGGGAUUGGUGGUGGUUGGCAAUUAGCAUGGAAAUGGUCUGAGAGAGAAGGCCAAGAUGGAAAAGUGGAAGGAGGUUUUAAAAAAAUUUAUUUGCAUCAAGAGGGCAUCCCUGGUUCUCGGCGUGGAUCUCUGGUUUCUAUGCAUGGUGGUGAUGCCCCUGCAGAGGGUGAACUCAUCCAGGCUGCUGCAUUGGUUAGCCAACCAGCUCUUUACUCCAAGGAGCUUGCAAAUCAUCAUCCAAUUGGACCAGCUAUGGUUCACCCAUCCGAAACUAUUCCUAAAGGGCCUAGUUGGGGGGAUCUCUUUGAGCCUGGAGUUAAGCAUGCAUUGGCUGUUGGGGUUGGAAUUCAAAUACUUCAGCAGUUCUCUGGCAUAAAUGGGGUUCUGUACUACACUCCCCAAAUUCUUGAGCAGGCAGGUGUGGGCGUUCUUCUUUCGAACAUGGGAAUUAGUUCAGCUUCUGCGUCUUUGCUUAUUAGUGCAAUUACAACACUGUUAAUGCUUCCUUGUAUAGCUGUAGCCAUGAGGCUCAUGGAUAUCUCUGGAAGAAGGACUUUGUUACUUAGCACAAUUCCUGUCUUGAUAGUCUCUCUCCUCAUCCUAAUCCUUGGAAGUGCAGUGAAUCUAGGCAGUGUUGUGAAUGCAUCUAUCUCAACUGCUAGCGUUAUAGUCUACUUCUGUUGCUUUGUUAUGGGAUUUGGACCGAUUCCUAACAUACUCUGUGCAGAGAUCUUCCCAACUCGCAUUCGUGGCCUUUGCAUUGCCAUAUGUGCCCUCACAUUUUGGAUUGGUGACAUAAUUGUUACCUAUACACUUCCAGUUAUGCUCAAAUCUGUUGGUCUUUCUGGUGUUUUUGGGUUGUAUGCAGUCGUGUGCUUCAUAUCGUUCGUAUUUGUGUAUUUAAAAGUUCCAGAAACCAAAGGCAUGCCCCUUGAAGUAAUAACUGAGUUCUUCUCUGUUGGUGCGAAGCAGGCUGCAGCUGCCAAGAACAAUUGAGUGAGAAGUUUUGACUUCUUUUUAUUUUUAAUUUGUUUCAUUUGUGUUCUCUUUUAGGUGUGGGAAACAAUAAUCUAUAUUUUUGCAGAAAGAAAAUGUGUAUAUUUUGCCACUGUUGGUUUUGCUAUUAUAUGACUUACCAGUAAAUUUCUCAUUCAAAUGAAAGUUCAACAUGAAUAACAGCACCGCGAAUUGAGUGAUGAGAUGAGCAGCUACUGUAAUAGAGAUUUGUGUGAUUUAUGAAUUUAUUUUUAAAUUAUAUAUUAGCUAUAAAUAAU
rnacentral:misc_RNA from 1 species